CCCCCCCCCCCCCCCCCCCCCCCCCCGACCCCAGCGCGCUUCCCGCCGCCGGCCCUGGAUCCCCACGCGCCACCGGCCCUGGAUCCCAGCAUGCCGUCGUCGGCCCUGGAUCCCAGCCUGCCGCCCCGGCCGCUAGCCCUGGAUCCCACCACCGCGCCGCCGGGCAGUGGACCUCUGUGCGCUGCGCUUCCACGAUGGCGGACGGUAACCACCAACCCAUCAUCAUCGCCUGCAGUCCGAGCCUAUACGCCUGCACCGUUCAACUCCUUCCUCGAGUACGUCUGCGAUGGAUGCAUGCCACCCCCUGCUAUGGAUAAGGUGUGAUCCGCCGUCAUCUCCUCUCACGGGGUGCGCGACUCCCGGAGGCCGGACCACCUCGGCGCACCCUGCUGGGGAGCCGUUCAACAGGGCCACCUUCAGCACCCUCUCGGGCCGUCGUUCAACUACACCAACUGGGGGUCGUUCAACAAACUCGCCCGAUGCCGUACGAGGCCGAGUCCCAGCGAGGAGCUUGUCACCUCCUAGGCUAUGUGCUGCCUGAGGACUAUGGGCUGCUGUUCGUCAACGUCGCAACGAGACCCAUAGGUGAGGCAUCCAGGAGAGCACUCCAUCCAGGACUACAGAUUUUUGCUAAUAACAAAGUUCAUGUUGUCAGAAAAUUGAAGUCCAUUUAUAUGGAAUUAGAUGAUUGUUGUGUGUAUGCAGCUAUUAGCAGAAAUCUGUGCUGAAAACUUGUGGCUGAGCCAGGGCCCUGGAUGCUGAUAACAUUUGUAAUUUGUGCUCUGUACCUUCUGCAGACUUGGGGGAUGAAAAAAGGUGGCUCCUCCCAUGAAUUAUUGAUUCCACACUUAUGUCUGCACUUAGCAAAAAUGCAUAUGAAAUACCAUGCUCUACUGAAUUUUCAUCA